rnacentral:lncRNA from 1 species
CCUAUUUAGCUCAAUUCAAAUAAGAAGGUUGGAUGAAUUCAAUAUCCAAAGGAAUGGAAUAGAAUACGCGAAAUCGACCAAAGCUCGAUUUCUGAUAGAAUUCCAGUGGCACAUAGAACAAAUACUUCAGAUUAUCAAUUAUGCUCCAAUACCCUUAAAAAAGCUAUUGUUGAAAGAUAUAUCAAUCUAUUUUUUGUUGAAACAAGUUUUGUACGAAUCAUGGUUUCCAACAAGGAGUUACCUUUGAUUUGGUAACACAAGGUCAAAAACACAAUCACUGUUUUGCAGAAUUCAUAGGGUCGGAUUCAAUAGAUAAUAGAAUAGGCAUUUGAAUUCCAAAUUUUUCAAACUAUAUUCCAAAAGAAAGGUCUACAAGCCUAGUUUCGGACGAAGUCAGUUUGGUACAAAUCAAAAUUUCCAACAGGGACUUAUAGGUAUUUUAGUAUCGAAAGGUCAGAAAUUUUGGUCCCUGUUCUGCAGCAUCUAUAGGCUCAUUUGAAACAGAUGUUUGGGUAAGUAUUCGGUGUCCAAAAUCUACCAAAUCAGUGUCAAAAGAAAGAUAUAAGAGUCUAA